GACGAACCGUCCAAACGUUGUUCGGAAUCACUGGGCUUAAAGGGCGCGUAGGCGGGUUGGCAAGUCUGUGGUGAAAUCCUCCAGCUUAACUGGAGAAGUGCCAUGGAUACUGCUGAUCUCGAGGAGGGUAGGGGCAUCUGGAACUGUCGGUGGAGCGGUGAAAUGCGUUGAUAUCGACAGGAACUCCGGUGGCGAAGGCGAGGUGCUGGACCCUUUCUGACGCUGAGGCACGAAGGCCAGGGGAGCAAACGGG
rnacentral:rRNA from 1 species